AUUGUAUUGGAAGGUCGGAAAGCCCAGCUGCGUUGUUUAAUGCACGUUAUUGUGGACAUGAGCAGAACUCCGGAAGGGGAAAAUAGAGUCUCUAGAGAAAGCAAGUAAAAGAUUGGUGUCAGGGAUGGAGCGGCAGUAUUAUGAUAAUGAGACGUGUACUUGGAAAACGGAGAAGGAAUGGAGGGAAAGAGAGAGGGAGAAGAGGGUGAGCUUGAGUCGGAUAAAAAUUGUGGGAAAAAUGUAGAUGAUUUGUCAAAGAAGAAUGGUAGAAAGUGUAAGCAGCGGGAGCUGAAGACAGGAGGAGAAAUGGAAGUGAAUAAGGGCGAAGUAUCGGAGGUGGUAGGUGCGGUAAAGUUAUCGGAGACCGAGGUAUGUACGGAGGAUCAGGAUGAAGAAGAGUCUGACAGUAGGAGUGAAGUUUAUGGAAAAAGUGGACUCUUGCCUUUUGUCUGAUCCAUUUGUGGUUUCACGGUGGGUGAAAAAAGAGUUGGGUCAUGUGGAAUCGGUGAGGGUAACUAGAGGGGGUCUAGUGAUAAUUGUUUGUGUUUAUUUUGGGCAGAGGAAGAAUGCGCUCGAAGUAAAACGAAUGGGGGCAAGCAAAGUGAAUGUUUCGUUCUCAAGAAAAGGGCACCAAUGAAAGGAGUGAGAACUGGGGAAGCAGUAGAUAUAAACGUUGACCAGCUGAGGGCAAAUAUUCCCGGUGUAUGUGAUGCUCGUCGUUUGAUGCGACGCAGACAGGGUGGCGAGAGUGGGGAAACAGAAGAGUCAUUGUCUGUUCUUUUGAGUUUUGAAAUUGAGUCUGUGCCUGACAAAGUGAAGUUAGAAUAUGUGUUAUCCUGUACGAGCGUAUGUGCCGAAUACAUUAAGAUGUUACAGGUGUCAAGCUUAUGGGCAUGUGGCAGAAGUGUGCAGGAGGGAGGGUUCAAGGUGUGAGAAAUGUGCAGAAGGGCAUGAGACAAAGGAAUGUUUAGUAUUUGGGAAAGUAGUGGAAUGUGUUAAUUGUAGGGGUGCCCAUGGAGCUGGGGAUCAGAAAUGUCCCAUGCAAGAGAGGCAGAUUGAGGUUUCUAGGGUUAGAGUAGAGCAGAAGUUGUCAUGCUGAGGCAGUGAAGAAAGUAUAGGAAGUUGGGUUAAGGGGGAGGAGUGGUGAGAGUAGUAGAGCUAUACCAGUACAGAGGGAUAGGACAAAAAGUGAAAUAAGUUUCAGUACGAUUGGAUUUUUAGCAUUUAUAUCAAUGGUUAUUAAUUGUACUGCAGGGAUGGAUUGGAAAAUUUAGGUUGUGGUGAGGUAUUUGGGUGUGCGAGACUUGACAACAGAAGAGUUACAGGAUGUGUUAAGUGGUGAUGUUCCAUCCUUUUAGGGUGAUGGCAUGAGGUAGGAAUACAUACAUUUAAUUAGUGGAGUAGGGGGGUGUUAAUUUAAUUGUAUAUCAUUUUGACAUUAGUGAGUAUACUGUUAGAUGGUAGGGUAUUUAUUUAUACAUUUUUAUUUUUCAAGUAAAGUAUAAGGGAGUUGUACUCCAGUCUAGUAGGUGGUGGUAAUACAACAAAUUGGAUGCCAACCGCCGUUAAAAGACACACUUCUUCUUCUAUGAGGUUUAAGUGUUUGACCGUCAAUCGUCCACAUGGCUGGCUGCCACCGGAAACUUCAGGAAGAUUGCCCAUUAUUUGUAUUUUUUUCCUAUGGCCCCAGAAAAGUGAGGCAGUGGGAGAACCUAUUCAAAGAGCCAUGGGACCUCUUCAUCUGCAGGCAGUUUCAAUCAAUGUCCCAAGAGAAUAAGGGUACAUCCUUGUAUACCAUAGAUUAUAUGUCUACCUAUGUUGGCAAAGUUUGUAAACAAAAAUACAGUUUAAAAGUCACGCAAUGUAUAAACCUUUUACAACUGGAGCAGGCCAACCAUACUGGGAGUACACACUUAUGUUUCAGCCCAGAAAUAACACACCUAAUUCAAGGUAUCAAACCUAAAUAGUUUAGACUCAAGUGUGCUAUUGUUGGGCUGGACCGGAAGUCUUCUCACCCAGUAGAUAAGGGAUCAGUGGAGCGAGGAUGGCCACCUCCGGUAUUGAAUUAUUUUUGUUUACCUGAAAUUAUGCUUUUGUGGUAAAUAGCCUACUUGUUACUAAAACUUUACAUUUGAGUUAGCUUACUUGUACACUUUGAAAUGAUAUGAAACAGUGUUGAUUCUUUGAAGUGAAGUGUUUAAACAUGUUUUAAUUGUUAACUUAACCAUUAUUCAAUAUUAACUAGUGUUGAUGUUGAUUAAUUACAGAUCACAAUCCUGCAAUAAAAAAGGGAAGGGAAUGUUUGUGUUUGUUUCUCAAAUGAUCAUUACCAUUUUGUCAGUCAUAAGCUCUCCAAUUAGAUUUAUUUGAUUGUCACAAUUUUUUCAGGAGAUCAGCCAUGUGGGGGGCGGCAGGUAGCGGUUAGAGCGCUGGGCCAGUAACCGAAAGGUUGCUUGAUCGAAUCCCCGAGCUGACAAGGUAAAACUCUGUCGUUCUGCCCCUGAACAAGGCAGUUAACCCAAGGCCGUCAUUGUAAAUAAGAAUUUGUUCUUAACUGACUUGCCUAGUUAAAUAAAGGUUAAAUAAUUUUAAAAAGUUGACCCAUUAUGCAGCUGAUAAUGGCAUGCAAUGCCAAUGCAGCCAUAGGCCUACAGCAGUGGUUCCCAACUCCAGUCCUUGAGUACCCUCAACAGCACACCUGAUUCAACUCAUUGAGGGCCUGAUGAUUCGUUGACAAGUUGAAUCAGGUCUGUUUGUCCGGGGCUAGAAUAACUGUACCCUCGACAUUGUGCAUCUGAAUUAGAUAAUAGCUUAACCCACACAAUGUUUGUAUUGUUCAGCUAUAUGUUAUCAAUUUAAAAACUAUACCAGUAGGCAAUGUAUGAGGCUGAUCAUUAUACUAGAUUUUCUACAUGCCUUGUGCUGACACAAGAUUGUUUAGUUCAUAUCCAACCCUUGCAAUCGAGGUGGUUUAAGACUACCACAAUAACUACAUUGUCUACGCUAAAUGUGUUUAAAUUGUAAAAGAAUGACACGUUUCAAGUUAAUGUCACAUGCACAGUAAAAUGCCUUUAAUGCGAACUCAAAACCCAACAAUGCAAUAAUCAAAUGUAUUACUAGAAAAAAAGCACACAAGAAAUAUGAAAUACACAAUAAAGUAAACAAACAUACUAUAUACAGAAAAUAUUUAAAAAGUCAGUUCCAAUACCAUAUUUACAUGUGCAGGGAUACUGGGGUGAUGGGAGGUAGAUAUGUGUGGGGUAAGGUGACUAGGCAACUGGAUAUAAGAUAAACAGAGUAGCAGCAGCUUGUGGGUGUAGAGUUGGUAUAAAUGUAUGUGCAUAUUAUGUGUGAGUGAGAAAAUGGAGUGAGUGUUUGCUUUGGAGUGACAGUGUGUAGGGCCCUGUGAGUGUGCAUAGACAGUGCAAAAUACUGAAAUAGAAGGUCAAUAAAGAUGCAAGGUAAACUUGGUCCGUGCAAGUUUGUUAGCUAUUUUUCAGUCGUAUUGCUUGGGGAUAAAAGCUGUUCAAGCAGAGAAAAUCUAUGGCUUGGAUGGUUGGGAUCUUUGACCUGAUAUGGAGGUCCAGGAUGGCAGGGAGCUUGGCCUCAGUGAUGUACUGGGCUGUGCGCACAACCCUCUGUAGCGCCAUACGAUCGAGGGCGAUGCUAUUGCUAUACCAAGCAGUGAUGCAGCCAGUCGAUAUGCUCUCGAAGGUACAGUUGUAGAACCUUUUCAGGAUUUGAGAGCUCAUGCCAAACUUUUUCUACUACUCUGUUUAUUAUCCAUACAUAGUCACUGUACCUCUACCUACAUGUACAUAUGACCUCAAUCCCUCGAAUAACCUGUACCCCCUGUAUUUAGCCUCGCUACUGUUAUUUUAUUUUUGCACCUUUUUUUCCCUUCAUUACUUUCUUCAGUUUAUUUCAGUAAAUACUUUAACACUUAUUUUUCUUAACUGCAUUGUUGGUUAAGGGCUUGUAAGUAAGCAUUUCACUGUAAGGUCUAUCUAUACCUGUUGUAUUCGGCGCAUGUGAUUUAUAUAUCUUUUUGAUUUAGUGACGCCGAAUUAUAAUCACCGCAACCAGAAAGGCAGCCUCACCCCGACUCCACUAUCCUGUCUGCCCGGUGAAUGAAGAAUCCAUCGAGUUAGAUAGCCGUGGGGGGCAUAUUGUCUGAGAGCCACGUUUCUGAAAAGCAAGGAACAUUGCAAUAGUUGGGCCAUAAGAAAUACUUUUUAUUCAAUGGGGCUAGGCAAAGCAAAGAUGACAGAAUACUUGUCUUUUCACUUAGACAACAAUAUAGCUUGAAGUACAGUAUGUUUACAAUAUCAACAAGUCUUUUAAACGUUCCAAAUUACAUUAUAUUCAUACAGUGUAAGGGGGCACUUUUGUCAUGACAAGGUGCUCUACUCAAUUGACAACAGAAUAAUUGUCCAAAGCACAGCAUAUGACAACCAUGUCAUAUAACUGAGGGAUGUCUUCUUUCAUGUCUGGAAAAAGAUGAAGAAGUAGUAGAAACUGAUGCUGCUGCAGCAUUACCCAUCUUCACAGGGGGAAUCCAGUCAACAUGGGUGUCUUGAUAUAGGUCAGCUGGUGAACCUACAGUACAUCAACAAAUGAGAAGCACACCUGACGUUAGAAUAUCAAAUCUUCAGGUCACCUAUACCAUCGCGGCUCUUAAGUGUUUGGUUGUGUUUAAUUCAUUCAGGUGUUUUAGUGUCAUAAAGAUUAAAUAUAUUGUUGGGCUGGAACAACUAUUACCAUUGGUUGCUCCAGCCUUUUUGAGGCCUUUGUCCUAUGCGGUAAUGUCCAUACAUUUUCCCUCAUUUUAUGAAUAAAGUUAUAAAAUUAUCAUUGGAUUAUCAUUUUUUGAACAAUAAUUUCCUUCAGAAUAUAUGGACGUCAUAUUGUACAAUUUGUGUCUACCCUUUUCAUGGUCAUGGCAAGAAGGGAACCAGCUUUUGUAAAAUGAACGUAAUAUUUUACAUUUCAUAGCCGAUACUGAGAAUUUAAGCAGCAGGUUAGAAGAAUUAGGUUAAGGCUGUGAAAAAAGUUAAGGUUAGCUAAAAAACAAAAUAAAACUUUUUAUGUAAAUUUGAGAAAAGCUGGAUCCCUUUAAGCAAAGACCCCUUUUCGGCCUAGAUUACAUGGUUGUUUUCAAGACAAGGUCGUUCUAAUUGAUCUGCUGUCAGUAGAGUAGGCCUAGACUACCAUCGUAUUAAAAAAGAUUAUGUUAAUAUCUCCAGUGAUAUAAAGUGUAGUAGAAUUGCAUUUAAUGUUAUCAAAGGCCACAUUUUUCCCGUGCAAAGGAAAGAAACGUCUCUGAUAUAGGAUAUAAACCUAUGCCGCUACGCGUUUAUUAACAGCCUAAAUUAUCACUAUCAAAUCUACUCAUCACAUUAAGAAUAGUAGGUUCACAUUUGCCCGCAAAUGCGAUGAUAGAGGCAUGUAAUGCUUUGUUAUAAGGGGCAUUUAUGGUGAGAAAAAAAAAUGGAUUCCCAAAACUUGAAACCCACGCGAUACAUGCUAAAAGCUAGACUACAAGCUAUCGAGCUAACUCACUUAGUGUUGUUAACGCCUGGUUAGCAUACCAGUGAAACUAAACUCAAAAUCGAUAAGACUUGACCUUCCAAUGAUGAAAUGAUCGUAGCAAACCCUGUAUUGAAAGCAGUCUGGGUUGAGGUCUUGACGGGCAAAAAGGUUUCUUCGCUUUUCUGAGUUCUUGAGUCUUAUCUCAUUGGUAUUGCCAAUGGUGUUUCAUGAUUGCGGGGAAUCUGUAAACAUCUUUUCCGGCCUUGUUUGAGGAGCCAUAUACUCCACAGAAAAUGACCGUGGUGAUGAAUCCACUAGUUCUAGUCACUUUUAUCAUUCAGUUUGGGGUAGCCCCUCGGCUGUUUUCAGAAUAAUUAAUGCAGUGGUCUUCCAACAUGGCCGCCAGGAGGCGUUCUACGUCAACUGAAA
rnacentral:lncRNA from 1 species